rnacentral:rRNA from 1 species
AUUGAACGCUGGCGGCAGGCCUAACACAUGCAAGUCGAGCGAGCGGCGGACGGGUGAGUAAUGUAUGGGGAACUGCCCGAUAGAGGGGGAUAACUACUGGAAACGGUAGCUAAUACCGCAUACCAUCGGAUGAACCCAGAUGGGAUUAGCUAGUAGGUGGGGUAAAGGCUCACCUAGGCGACGAUCCCUAGCUGGUCUGAGAGGAUGACCAGCCACACUGGGACUGGGACACGGCCCAGACUCCUUAGGGAGGGAGCAGUGGGGAAUAUUUGCCAAUGGGCGCAAGGCUGGUGGAACCAAGCCGGGUGGAUGAAGAAGGCCUUAGGGUUGUAAAAUACUUUCCGGGGGGAGGCGGUACCCGCAGAAGAAGCCCCGGCUUACUCCGGGCCAGGAGGCGCGGUAAUAC